rnacentral:rRNA from 1 species
GAUGAACGCUGGCGGCGUGCCUAAUACAUGCAAGUCGAGCGAACGGACGAGAAGCUUGCUUCUCUGAUGUUAGCGGCGGACGGGUGAGUAACACGUGGAUAACCUACCUAUAAGACUGGGAUAACUUCGGGAAACCGGAGCUAAUACCGGAUAAUAUUUUGAACCUCAUGGUUCAAAAGUUAAAGACGGUCUUGCUGUCACUUAUAGAUGGAUCCGCGCUGCAUUAGCUAGUUGGUAAGGUAACGGCUUACCAAGGCAACGAUGCAUAGCCGACCUGAUAGGGUGAUCGGCCACACUGGAACUGAGACACGGACCAGACUCCUACGGGAGGCAGCAGUAGGGAAUAUUGCGCAAUGGGCGAAAGCCUGACGGAGCAAAGCCGCGUGAGUGAUGAAGGUCUUCGGAUCGUAAAACUCUGUUAUUAGGGAAGAACAAAUGUGUAAGUAACUGUGCACAUCUUGACGGUACCUAAUCAGAAAGCCACGGCUAACUACGUG